UAUUAUUCUUUUAGGCUGAGAGUGAUUGGUGCCAUUUAGAUUAGAACUAAAUCAAAUAUAAAUUAGUUGCAACUAGCGUGAUUGCUGACUAGGAAUGAUUUAGAAAGAAUGAAAAGAAAUGCUCCUAGUGUGCAACAAAAAUAAUGAGGGCGUUUUUCUCUUCUUUUUGAAGACAAAAAAAGCUUUGGUAUUUUUUUAAUAUUAAUUACAGAGUUUAUUUUAGUUCAUUAACUCUCAUUUUUUUUAGGGUAGUAUUGUAUCAUUCGCAGAUAAAUUAUAGACCUAUUUUUUCUUUUCUUCUUUGUAAGUAGCGUCAAUUCUUGUUCUUCAUACAUAAGAUUUGUCUUCACGACCUUAACAGGAAUAAAAUACAAAAAGUGUGAAGCUAUGUUGAAAACUCCAUCCACCUUGUACUUUUUCUUCAAAGCUUCACAAAUAAUAUGAACUUCAUACUUUGUUACAGUUCCACGACUUCAUGUAUAUUCAUUGAUGAUUGUUUGUAGGACUCAAAACAAGAACAAUAUAUUGUUAAGUCACAAAAAAAAAUGAAGAAACAACAUCAGCAAACUUCAUCUAGUUUGAGAAAAUAUGAGAAGGAAUAUAAGAAUUAUGAAGUUGUUGUGUAAACUUCUUACUCCUUUUUUUUCAUAGCUUCACAGCCUAGAUGAACCUCAUAAUUGAUGUCUGUUCCAUGUACGUUUAGUUUCAAUAAAAUGUGCAUCCUGGAAAUAUUUUAUAAUAUUUGGUUCUGUUGUAUGAUGUUGUUUUGUUGAUAACUACUCUUGUAUGUUAUUGUUGUUGAUUAUUGUUCUCAUAGCAAGAAGAUUAGGUUGAGUUUAUUGUAUUCUAUGUAGAUUGUUUGUUUCACUAACCCUCACUUAAAAUACAUUCAUUUAAAUUGAGA